CAUAACUACAAGGAUUUGUUUGUAGCAUUUUCUGCUCAAUGAAUCUGUUUAAAUAGCCGCAGUACCCUGACUGUGCAAAGGUAGCAUAAUCAGUUGGCUUAUAAUUGAAGUCUGGAAUGAAAGAAUAUAUGGGUGGUUACUGUUUCGGGGGACAUCUAUGAAGUUACUUAAAAAGUGCAAAUUCUUUUGGAUAUACAUAAGACGAGAAGACCCUGGAAAUUUACACAUUUUGUUGGGGCGACAUAGUAACAAUUAACUUAUUGUAUUUUACUUGAAAUCAGUUGUUAGAUGGAAAAAAUUACUCCAGGGAUAACAGCAUAAUUUAUUAAAGUUUGUGACCUCGAUGUUGGACUAGGGUGGAUUAUUGUUUAGAAGGCAAGAUCCCAGGUUCUGUUCGAACUAUAAUCCCUACG
rnacentral:rRNA from 1 species